UUAUAUCUGUCCGAUGAGCCUGUGGAUUGGAUCUUCGUAAUAGAGACAUGGUGUAAUUUGCAGGCAGCGUGAAUCAAUGCGAGCGGGUUCACCCAACAAGAGAAUAAAUCAGGUGAACUGUUCCUUUAACCGCUCAUCUGCGACCUGCGGCAAUGUCAGGGUCAUUGGAGUGAAGGUAUCCAAUGGAAUGCUGAAAUAACCAACAAUAGAAACAUCCCGCUGUCUUUAUGUCCGUCACCCUUUCAGGAUGCUCCCUGGUGUUCACACCCGUGCCACCGUUCAGCAGAAAACUUUUAAUCAUC